ACAGCAGCAGCCACGGUAAUACGUAGGGUGCAAGCGUUAAUCGGAAUUACUGGGCGUAAAGCGUGCGCAGGCGGUUAUAUAAGACAGAUGUGAAAUCCCCGGGCUCAACCUGGGAACUGCAUUUGUGACUGUAUAGCUAGAGUACGGCAGAGGGGGAUGGAAUUCCGCGUGUAGCAGUGAUAUGCGUAGAUAUGCGGAGGAACACCGAUGGCGAAGGCAAUCCCCUGGGCCUGUACUGACGCUCAUGCACGAAAGCGUGGGGAGCAAACAGGAUUAGAUACCCCCGUAGUCCCUGUCUCUUAUAC
rnacentral:rRNA from 1 species